GCAGGUAUACGAAAGGGACAAAUGCUGCACUGCCAACUCGAUACCUAUAACUGUGAUUACAAUUUUCGUCGAAGAGGGAUCUGUUCGUCAGUCAAGAAAAUAAUCAACUGAAAUACAUAAAAUGCCUUACUAUAAAAGAGAAACUCACAAUAGCCGUUAUUGCAGAUGGAAAAAAAGACCAAACAACAUACUUGAGCUUGAGUGUUCUUGUAAUCGCCAAAAUAGCCAUUAUGUCGAAUAUCAUUGUCAACGUUCGUGCUUUUGGAGAUAUGAAAUCAACAAUGGAAAUCGUGCAAUUCUGCGUCGAUUUUGCUACUGCGGUCAGUACACGACUUAUGUAGGCCAAAAUAUAGCGGCCAAUUAGUAGUCAAAGAUUUUCAAUCUAAAUCGUGAAGAACAGGAACAAGGAAACAAUUAAGCCAUCUACACUACCUGCGCUUCAUACACGUUAGUGUACCAUACCAAACACAAAACUCAGGAAACAGACCUAAUGACAGACAUUUAAAUAACCAAUAAUGCCUGUUUUGAAAGUGUAAAAUAUUAAAUACAUCAUGCGGAUGCGGAUUUGCCUUCUGUGAAUAAUUUUCUGUGUAUUAGAUAGACCAAUACAUUUUCUCUGGGAAUCAGUCAUGCAAAAAUGUAUUCUUUUAUAAAAAAAAAUGAGCCACCCUUACAAAAUAUUGUUGGAAUAAAAUGAAUAAGAUUAUACAAUAAUAGUUAUACUGUACAAAAUUACAAAAUUGUAUCCAGCAAAUUUAUUAUAUUUUAUGGCAUUUUUUUGAGUAGUUAAUCAAGUGAUACAAAGCUGUCUUACAUCAUUCUGUUUUCUUAAUACCUGAAACAAUUGUAAGACAGUGAGACUGUUUCAGAUAUUCAGAUAAUACCUAAUAAUAAUGAUCAUUUCCUUAAAAUAGUACUUAGAAAUAUAAAUGAAUCAAAUUCUCAAUUAUGUUUUUAUCUAUAUGUCAAAACACGCGUAGAAUAAUUAUAACAGUACCAUGUAAUUUUAAUUAUUCAAUAAAAUUUUAGAAAAGAAAAACAAGUUAUUUGGGAACAUGUUUAUAUGUGAAAUGUUUUUUAUUCUAGUUUAUUACAAUGUUUAUUGAGAAUAUGAGUAACUAACGUACAAAAUCGUUUUCAGAAUUCAGUUGAUAUAAAUAAUACAUAGUUGUGUUUUGUACUUGCACAAUACCAAUAAAUUGGAAAUAUUUAUUUAUACAAAAUUCUCAUAAUAUAAAUGUAUUUUACUAAUUAGUGAAUUAUAAUUACACAUACAAAAUUCUUAUAAUUAGAAUCCCUAAACCAGUUAAAUAAAUCAUAAUCACGAUAGGAAUUGUGAAUAUAUAAUUUUAGUUAGAAUUGAUUUAACUGAUAUUUUUUUUUUUCAUAAAUCAUCGACAUGAUGAAAUUAAUCGCCAGGUAGUCUAACGUGUACGCAGUUAAGCAUCUCUAAUUUAAAAUAACGGCUUGUGCAGCCUUUGUUGAACAUGACAUCAAAUGGUAUAUGUGCUGGGAAAUAAAUAAAUAACAUAUUGUAUUUUGCUUUACUUGCAUUAUUCCUAUUUUAGUAAGACUUUAUAGUGCUUUCAAAGUUUAACAUACAGUUUUUGAACCAUAAUUUUGUUCAACUAAACUUACCAUUGCGUAUCGAAUCUUCUUUUACAUUUUGUCGUAAGUUUAUGGUAUUUUGAUUUCCUGUUCAAAUACUGAUAUUAUUACACUGGAUUGUAUUUACUUUUCAAAUUUUAAAAAUAACUUUAUUACAUUGUACCUUAAAUAAUUAGUCUUGAACAAAAAUAUUUUAUAAAUAGUAAUUUUAAUUACUGCUAAAAUGGACGAUUUAACAUUGUGUGCCAAUUUUUUUUCAUCCAAGACGCAUGCGCACAGUCCUAGAAAAGUUCCACUUUCGUGUCUAGCACCGAUUGGUUACGUUCAAUAUUAUACAUUUUACUACAUAAACUAAACAAAUACAAGAAGAAUCUCAUUCACGAUGGGUGCGUUUUUUAGCUGGUUAUUUGGUACACCUACGAAGGCUGUAACAUAUGUAAAGCAGUCCACACCCCCGGAGGAGAUCCACGACAAAAAAUCAUGUGACUGGAAGAAAAUUGAAAAACGUGAUCGCUUUAUAUGGGAAAGAGUCUGUAAUUGUACAAAAUACGGCCCAUAUGAUGAAAAUCAUCAAAAGAAUGAAUGUGUAUGGAUAAAGUUGGUUUCCAAAAACGGGUGCAUCUUUCGUCGCUUCUGCAAGUGCUAUCUCCACGAAAGUUAUGGUUCAAACACAGAUACUAAUACUUAGUGGAAACUAGUACUUAAAACUGCUUACAGUAUCUGCAUUUUCAAUAUACAUGGUGAAGAGAAACAUCAAGAAACCAACGACCGAAUAUUUUGACAGCCUGUGCUUUUCCA
rnacentral:lncRNA from 1 species